rnacentral:rRNA from 1 species
GUUGGGUAGGGGAGCGUUCUGUAAGCCUGUGAAGGUGUGUCGUGAGGCAUGCUGGAGGUAUCAGAAGUGCGAAUGCUGACAUAAGUAACGAUAAAGCGGGUGAAAAGCCCGCUCGCCGGAAGACCAAGGGUUCCUGUCCAACGUUAAUCGGGGCAGGGUGAGUCGACCCCUAAGGCGAGGCCGAAAGGCGUAGUCGAUGGGAAACGGGUUAAUAUUCCCGUACUUGGUGUUACUGCGAAGGGGGGACGGAGAAGGCUAUGUUGGCCGGGCGACGGUUGUCCCGGUUUAAGCGUGUAGGUGUGUGUUCCAGGUAAAUCCGGUUCACUUUAACACUGAGGCGUGACGACGAGGCACUACGGUGCUGAAGCAACAAAUGCCCUGCUUCCAGGAAAAGCCUCUAAGCAUCAGGUAACAUCAAAUCGUACCCCAAACCGACACAGGUGGUCAGGUAGAGAAUACCAAGGCGCUUGAGAGAACUCGGGUGAAGGAACUAGGCAAAAUGGUGCCGUAACUUCGGGAGAAGGCACGCUGACACGUAGGUGAAGUGAUUUACUCAUGGAGCUGAAGUCAGUCGAAGAUACCAGCUGGCUGCAACUGUUUAUUAAAAACACAGCACUGUGCAAACACGAAAGUGGACGUAUACGGUGUGACGCCUGCCCGGUGCCGGAAGGUUAAUUGAUGGGGUCAGCGCAAGCGAAGCUCCUGAUCGAAGCCCCGGUAAACGGCGGCCGUAACUAUAACGGUCCUAAGGUAGCGAAAUUCCUUGUCGGGUAAGUUCCGACCUGCACGAAUGGCGUAAUGAUGGCCAGGCUGUCUCCACCCGAGACUCAGUGAAAUUGAACUCGCUGUGAAGAUGCAGUGUACCCGCGGCAAGACGGAAAGACCCCGUGAACCUUUACUAUAGCUUGACACUGAACAUUGAGCCUUGAUGUGUAGGAUAGGUGGGAGGCUUUGAAGCGUGGACGCCAGUCUGCGUGGAGCCGACCUUGAAAUACCACCCUUUAAUGUUUGAUGUUCUAACGUGGACCCGUGAUCCGGGUUGCGGACAGUGUCUGGUGGGUAGUUUGACUGGGGCGGUCUCCUCCUAAAGAGUAACGGAGGAGCACGAAGGUUGGCUAAUCCUGGUCGGACAUCAGGAGGUUAGUGCAAUGGCAUAAGCCAGCUUGACUGCGAGCGUGACGGCGCGAGCAGGUGCGAAAGCAGGUCAUAGUGAUCCGGUGGUUCUGAAUGGAAGGGCCAUCGCUCAACGGAUAAAAGGUACUCCGGGGAUAACAGGCUGAUACCGCCCAAGAGUUCAUAUCGACGGCGGUGUUUGGCACCUCGAUGUCGGCUCAUCACAUCCUGGGGCUGAAGUAGGUCCCAAGGGUAUGGCUGUUCGCCAUUUAAAGUGGUACGCGAGCUGGGUUUAGAACGUCGUG